CGGUUCCCUUCCACCAAGUGGAAGCUUUACUUUCGCUUUUGCUUUACUUUUGCUUUCGCUUUAGUAAAUCUUGCUGCCACACACUCUUUGGGUCCGCGCGUUUCUCCAAUCGAGCUGUAACACUCACCGCUGUGGUCCAAGGCUUCAUUCCUAGAAGCCCGUGAGACCAUGAGCCGACUGAGAAAAACCUUCGAUUGGAAGAAGACUUCUCGUCUCACCCGGCUGGGUUCUGGCUCACGGGAUGAUGAAGAUAUGAAAAUUUGACUAUGGCACUGACAAGCCCAGAUGGCACCUCCAGGAGCUCCCCAUGCCCUCCUCUGUGAGUCUCAAGCUUCUGUUGGGCUGCUGCUUCCCUAGCUUUCUGAAUCAUUCCGCAUGCCAGGGCAACGGUUUAUUCUCAUGCUAUGUUGUUGCAUUAUUAUACCAAGAAUCUAGAUCUUUAACUGAUAUGGGUUUCUUAAAAAAUUGCAUCUCCAUCAGACGUGGUGACUCACGCCUGUAAUCCUAGCACUUUGGGAGAUUGAACAGGUGGAUCACUUCAGUCCAGGAGUUCGAGACCAGCCUACACAGCAUGGUGAAACUCCUUCUCUACAAAAAAAUACAAAAAUUAGUUGGGCAUGGUGGUGCAUGCCUGUAAUCCCAGCUACUUGGGAGGCUGAAGUGCGAGGAUCACCUGAGCCGGGGAGGUCAAGGCUGUGGUGAGCCGUGAUUGUGCCACUACACUCCAGCCUGGGUGACAGAGUGAGACCCUGUCUCAAAAAAAUAAAAAAAUAAAAACACACAUAAUAAAUAAAUGCAUCUCUGU
rnacentral:lncRNA from 1 species